UCUUUUCAUUGUGUGCCAGCCGCCGCGGUAAAACGUAGGUCACAAGCGUUGUCCGGAAUUACUGGGUGUAAAGGGAGCGCAGGCGGGAAGACAAGUUGGAAGUGAAAUCUAUGGGCUCAACCCAUAAACUGCUUUCAAAACUGUUUUUCUUGAGUAGUGCAGAGGUAGGCGGAAUUCCCGGUGUAGCGGUGGAAUGCGUAGAUAUCGGGAGGAACACCAGUGGCGAAGGCGGCCUACUGGGCACCAACUGACGCUGAGGCUCGAAAGUGUGGGUAGCAAACAGG
rnacentral:rRNA from 1 species